rnacentral:rRNA from 1 species
CAUGGCCCGUUCUUAGUUGGUGGAGUGAUUUGUCUGGUUAAUUCCGAUAACGAACGAGACCUUAACUGCUAAUUAGUCGUCCCCAUUUUAUGGGAUAUGACUUCUUAGAGGGACUAUGCAUAUCAAGUGCAUGGAAGUUUGAGGCAAUAACAGGUCUGUGAUGCCCUUAUAUGUCCUGGGCUGCACGCGUGCUACACUGAUGCAUACAACAAGUGCCUAGCUAGACAUAGUAUGGCAAUCUGGAAUAUGCAUCGUGAUGGGGAUAGAUCUUUGCAAUUAUAGAUCUUGAACGAGGAAUUCCUAGUAAGUGCAAGUCAUCAUCUUGCAUUGAUUAUGUCCCUGCCCUGUGUACACACCGCCCGUCGCUCCUACCGAUACCGGGUGAUCCGGUGAACCUGUUGGACCCUUUGGGAAAAAUAAGUAAAUCAUAUCACCUAGAGGAAGGAGAAGU